rnacentral:rRNA from 1 species
AUGAGUUGCCUAAAAGAUGUUCCGACACUUAGAGGUGACAAUCACACUGAGUGGAGGAAGAAAGUUGAACUGCCAUUUGUGUGUGCUGAUGUGGACUGGGUUUUGGAUGAACCACAGCCGGUCAGAUCUACAGAGCCAGUAAGAGAGGCCACUGAUGAUGAUGCUACGUGGGCUAAAAAGAGGGAAGAUUAUGCUCCCUUGGAGAUGUCAUACAUCAUAGAAAACCAAAAGUGGGUCAAUGCAAACAAAAAGUGUAUGGCAUUUAUAAAGAAUACAAUUGAGAGCACCAUUGUAGACUCCAUUGCAGAGUGCACUUCCGCAGGGGAGUUGCUUUCAAAGAUAAAGAGCUAG